UACAGAGGUCUCAAGCGUUGUUCGGAUUCAUUGGGCGUAAAGGGUGCGUAGGCGGCGCGGUAAGUCGGGUGUGAAAUCUCGGAGCUUAACUCCGAAACUGCAUUCGAUACUGCCGUGCUUGAGGACUGGAGAGGAGACUGGAAUUUACGGUGUAGCGGUGAAAUGCGUAGAUAUCGUAGGGAAGACCAGUGGCGAAGGCGGGUCUCUGGACAGUUCCUGACGCUGAGGCACGAAGGUCAGGGGAGCGAACGGG
rnacentral:rRNA from 1 species